AGCAGCCGCGGUAAUUCCAGCUCCAAUAGCGUAUAUUAAAGUUGUUGCAGUUAAAAAGCUCGUAGUUGAAUUUCGGGGUCAGCAGGUCGGUCGUGCCUACGGUAUGCACUGGCCUUGCUGAUUCCUCCCUCUUGAUGAGCCGUAAUGCCAUUAAUUUGGUGUUGCGGGGAAUCAGGACUGUUACUUUGAAAAAAUUAGAGUGUUUAAAGCAGGCUAACGCUUGAAUACAUUAGCAUGGAAUAACGGAAUAGGACGUUCGAUCUUAUUUUGUUGGUUUCUAAGAUUGACGUAAUGAUUAAUAGGGAUAGUUGGGGGCAUUAGUAUUCAAUUGUCAGAGGUGAAAUUCUUGGAUUUAUUGAAGACUAACUACUGCGAAAGCAUUUGCCAAGGAUGUUUUCAUUAAUCAAGAACGAAAGUUAGGGGAUCGAAGACGAUCAGAUACCGUCGCAGUCUUAACCAUAAACUAUGCCGACUAGGGAUCGGGUGAUGUAAUUUUUAAUGACUCAUUCGGCGCCUUACG
rnacentral:rRNA from 1 species